UUAAUGCCCCAUAGUAUUAUAGAAUGGCAUCAUUUUAUAAUUAAAGUCACAACGGUAAAAGAUGAGCAUGCGUCCCAUUAGUUAGUUGGUAAGGUAACGGCUUACCAAGACUAUGAUGGGUAGGGGUCCUGAGAGGGAGAUCCCCCACACUGGUACUGAGACACGGACCAGACUCCUACGGGAGGCAGCAGUGAGGAAUAUUGGACAAUGGGCGCAAGCCUGAUCCAGCCAUGCCGCGUGCAGGAAGACGCAUCUAUGGUGUGUAAACU
rnacentral:rRNA from 1 species